rnacentral:lncRNA from 10 species
ACCCGGACUGCAGAGCAAUGGCACAAUCUUGGUUCACUGCAACCUCCACCUCCCAGGUUCAAGCGAUUCUCUUGCCUCUGCCUCCUGAGUAGCUGGGAUUACAGGCACUCACCACUACACCUGGCUAAUUUUUGCAUUUUUAGUAGACAUGGGGUUUCACCAUGUUGGCCAGGCUGGUCUUGAACUCCUGACCUCGAGUGAUCUGCCUACCUUGGCCUCCCAAAUUGCUGGGAUUACAGGCGUGAGCCAUUGUGCCCGGCUAUGAAUUUUGAUGCCCUAUGAUAAACGGUAUACAUAUUUAAAAUUGUUCUACCUUGCUAGUGAAUUGUUCCUUUAAUCAUUGUCUAAUGCCCGUAUUUAUCUCUUACUCUUUGUCUUGAAAUCCACCUUCUCUAAUACCCAUAUAGCCACGCCAGCUUUCUUACUCUUAUUGUUUGCAUUGCAUGUUUUAUCCAUCUUUUACAGUCAAUGUCUUGUUAUUUAUUUUUAAAAUGUGUCUCCUACAGAUAGCAUCGAGUUGGAUCUCACUUUUUUUCCUAGUCAAAAAUCUCUAUUUUCAUUGGGAUGCUUAGUAUAUCUGCAUUUUAUUAUUUGAUGAGUUGAGGUUUAAGUUCAUCUUAUAAUUUGAUUUCCACUUCCCUAGCAUGUUUUAUAAAAUUAUUUCUAUUGCUUAUUUCCUGUAUUCUUUGAUAAAUAUUUUAGAUAUCUAAUACAUCUUCUCUUUUUUGUACUUAAUUUUUGUGUGCUUGAUGUAGGGCUACUAAAAUGUGUUUUUUAAAUUAUCAGUCUAUUUAUAGUCAAUAUUAUACCUCUUCACAUUUCACACUUCCCUUCUGAUACUUUAUACUUCCUGUUUUACAAUAAAUAUUUUUCCCAGGAUAUGAUUUUUUUACCUCCUUAUAUCCUUCCUACAAUUGCUAUCCUAUUUUUUACUUAUCUAUAUAUGUUAAAGGUCACUCUACAGUGUUAUUAUUUAUGUGAUAAGUAAUUAGUUUUAUUAUGAGUAAUUUAAAUAAAUUAUGAGAAUAAAAGGGAGGCUUUUAUAUUUACAGACUCAUUUCCAAUUUCUGAUGCCCUUUAUUUUUUACACAGAUUCUAAAUUUUCAUUUGCUGUUAUUUCUUUCAGCCUGAAUGAUACUAUUCACUAUUUCUUUUUUGCAAGAAUCCUAGUAAUAAACUUCCUAACUUUCUUUGUCUGAAAUUAUCUUGAUUUCAUUCUCACUUUCAGAAGCUAUUUUUGCUGGAUAUAGAAAUCUAAAUUGACAGGAUUUUUUUUUCAUUUACACUUUAUUUUUAUUCUUAUUUUUUGGAGACAGAGUACUGUUCUGUCAGACUAAAGUGCAGUGGUGCAAUCAUAGCUCACUACAGCCUCGACAUUCUGGGCUCAAGUGGUCCUGCCUCAACCUCUCAAGUAGCUGGAGACUACAGGCAUGUGACAACAUGCCCAGCUAAUUAAAAAAAAACAAAUUGUGGAGAUGGGAUCUCACUAUGUUGUCUAGGUUUGUCUUGGACUCCUGAGUUCAAGUGAUUCUCCUACCAUGGCCUCCCAAACACUUGCACUUUUAAAAUGUAAUUAAAUUGACUUUUAAUAGCCUUCAUUGUUUGAUAUGAAAAGUCAACAGUAAGUUAUUUUUAUCCUUUUGUUUCAUGUCUGUAAUGCGUGUUUCCAGUAUGGCGCUUUCAGUAUUUUCUUUGCAAUUUGACUCUGAUUAUUUAUUUUACAUUUAUCUUGCUUGGAAUUGACUUAGAUUUUUGGUUUUGUUUUUAAUCUGAAAAUUUUUUUCUUGUUUUUCAUUCAAUUUGUUAAGUUUUUAGUCAUUGUUUUUCUAAAUGCUGGUGUGCUCCUUACAAUUGUUUUCUGAGACUCAAAUUUCAGGUAUGUAAAAGCAGUAGUUCUCAUAUUUUUUGGUCCCAAUACUUCUUUACAUUAUGUAAAAUUUUCAAGCACCACGAAAGCAUUUGUUUAUGUAGUUAUAUCUAUCAAUAUUUAUAUUAGAAAGUAAAGCAGACAAAUUGUUAAAAAUAUGUAUUUUGACACACAUAAAAACAAAAAUACCAUAACACAUUAAAAUAAAAAAGAUAGACUUAUUGAAAAAAAUCAAAAAUUCUUCGUGAGAAGAAUGACACUUUCACAGAGUGCUUUUUAUGGCUUAAUAGAAGACAGCUACAGUCUCAUAUUUGUUUCCGCAUUUAAUCUGUUGUUAUAUCAUUCAUCUUGCAGUCUAUGGAAAACUCCACUUUACACAUGAUUAUGGAGGCUGAGAAGUCCUACAACAGGCCAUAUGCAAGCUGGAGACCCAGGGAUGCCUGCAGCAUGGCUCAGUCCAAGUCCAAAAGCCUCAGAACCAGAGAAGCCAGAGGUGUAGCUUGAAGUCUGAGGCCAAAGGCCUGAAAACCUGGGGCAGGGGUUGCUGCUACACAUCCUAGAGUACAAAGGCCUGAGAAUCUGGAGUUCUGAUGUCCAAAGGCAGCAGAAGAUGGGUGCCUCGGUUCUACGUGAGAGAACCUGGAGUUCUGAUGUCCAAAGGCAGCAGCAGAUGGGUGUCUCAGGUCUAGAAAACAGAAUCUGGAGUUCUGAUGUCCAAAGGCAUCAGAAGAUGGGUGUCUCAGUUCUACGAGAGAGAACCUGGAGUUCUGAUGUCCAAAGGCAGCAGCAGAUGUAUGUCUGAGGUCUAGGAGAGAUAAUCUGGAACUCUGAUGUCCAAAAGCAUCAGAAGAUGGGCGUCUCAGUUCUAACAGAGAGAACCUGGAGUUCUGAUGUCCACAGGCAGCAGCAGAUGGGUGUCUCAGUUCUAGGAGAGAGAACCUGGAGCUCUGAUGUCCAAAGUCAGCGGAAGAUGGGUGC